CCUCAACAUGGAGAUCCUAGAGGUCUGAUAGGGGCCCAGCCUGCAAGGGUUCGAGAUCCAGCCAAGGAUCGCAUGCCCUAUCUUGCUGCUGAGUCUAUGAAGUCUCUUUCCACCUUGAGCUGCCUUUCCUCUGCUCCACGAUUUUCUCUUAUCAACUUGAAGAAAUUGGCCAGUUGCCCUGAGAAAUGGCCCACCUUUUCAAUCUAUCUAAGGAGAAUAAAUGAUUAUUUGGGGCUGGCUCUGUGGUGCAGAGUUGUA